rnacentral:rRNA from 1 species
UACAGAGGGGGCAAGCGUUGUUCGGAAUUACUGGGCGUAAAGGGCGCGUAGGCGGCCUUCUACGUCGGACGUGAAAUCCCCGGGCUCAACCCGGGAACUGCGUCCGAUACUGGAAGGCUUGAAUCCGGGAGAGGGAUGUGGAAUUCCAGGUGUAGCGGUGAAAUGCGUAGAUAUCAGGAGGAACACCUGCGGUGUAGACGGCUUACUGGACCAUAACUGACGCUGAGGCACGAAAGCGUGGGUAGCAAACAGG